rfam:Felis catus isolate Cinnamon breed Abyssinian chromosome D3, whole genome shotgun sequence.
GCCUGGGCGGCUCAGUUGGCUGAGCGUCCGACUUCAGCUCAGGUCAUGAUCUCACAGUUCGUGGGUUCGAGCCCCACGUCGGGCU